GAUGAACGCUGGCGGCGUGCCUAAUACAUGCAAGUCGAGCGAACAGACGAGGAGCUUGCUCCUCUGACGUUAGCGGCGGACGGGUGAGUAACACGUAGAUAACCUACCUAUAAGACUGGGAUAACUUCGGGAAACCGGAGCUAAUACCGGAUAAUAUAUUGAACCGCAUGGUUCAAUAGUGAAAGACGGUUUUGCUGUCACUUAUAGAUGGAUCCGCGCCGCAUUAGCUAGUUGGUAAGGUAACGGCUUACCAAGGCGACGAUGCGUAGCCGACCUGAGAGGGGGAGAGGCCAGCGUGGAAAUGAGACACGGUCCAGACGCCUACGGGAGGCAGCAGUAGGGAAUCUUCCGCAAUGGGCGAAAGCCUGACGGAGCAACGCCGCGUGAGUGAUGAAGGUCUUCGGAUCGUAAAACUCUGUUAUUAGGGAAGAACAAAUGUGUAAGUAACUAUGCACGUCUUGACGGUACCUAAUCAGAAAGCCACGGCUAACUACGUG
rnacentral:rRNA from 1 species